rnacentral:rRNA from 1 species
AACGAACGCUGGCGGCAUGCCUAACACAUGCAAGUCGAACGAGACCUUCGGGUCUAGUGGCGCACGGGUGCGUAACGCGUGGGAACCUGCCCUUAGGUUCGGAAUAACUCCCCGAAAGGGGUGCUAAUACCGGAUAAUGUCUUCGGACCAAAGAUUUAUUGCCCUUGGAUGGGCCCGCGUUGGAUUAGCUAGUUGGUAGGGUAAAAGCCUACCAAGGCGACGAUCCAUAGCUGGUUUGAGAGGAUGAUCAGCCACACUGAGACUGGGACACGGCCCAGACUCCUACGGGAGGCAGCAGUGGGGAAUAUUGGACAAUGGGCGAAGGCAUGAUCCAGCAAUGCCGCGUGAGUGAUGAAGGCCUUAGGGUUGUAAAGCUCUUUUACCCGGGAUGAUAAUGACAGUACCGGGAGAAUAAGCUCCGGCUAACUCCGUG